UACGGAGGGUGCAAGCGUUAUCCGGAUUCACUGGGUUUAAAGGGUGCGUAGGCGGCUUUUUAAGUCAGUGGUGAAAGCCCUCAGCUUAACUGAGGAAUUGCCAUUGAAACUGAGGAGCUCGAAUCUGGUUGAAGUGGGCGGAAUACAUCAUGUAGCGGUGAAAUGCAUAGAUAUGAUGUAGAACACCAAUUGCGAAGGCAGCUCACUAAGCCAACAUUGACGCUGAGGCACGAAAGCGUGGGGAGCAAACAGG
rnacentral:rRNA from 1 species